rnacentral:rRNA from 1 species
CCCUUAGAUGUUCUGGGCCACACGCGCGUUACACUGAUGAAGCCAGCGAGUAUAUCGCCUUCACCGGAAGGUGCGGGUAAUCUUGUGAAACUUCAUCGUGCUGGGGAUAGACCAUUGCAAUUAUUGGUCUUGAACGAGGAAUUCCUAGUAAGCAUGAGUCAUCAACUCGUGCUGAUUACGUCCCUGCCCUUUGUACACACCGCCCGUCGCUACUACUGAUUGGAUGUUUAAGCGAGGUUCUCGAACUGCUAGCGACUUAGCUUCGGUGAGGUCGCAGUGUGGGAAGUGAACCUAGCUUUGGUGUCUAGAGGAAGUAAAAGUCGUAACA